AGCAGCCGCGGUAAUUCCAGCUCCAAUAGCGUAUAUUAAAGUUGUUGCAGUUAAAAAGCUCGUAGUUGAAUUUCGGGAUCAGUAUGUUGGUCGUGCUUCGGUACGUACUGUCAUUACUGGUUUCUACCUUCUGAAGAACCUUGAUGUCAUUAAUUUGGUGUCUUGGGGAAUCAGGACUGUUACUUUGAAAAAAUUAGAGUGUUUAAAGCAAGCAUACGCUUGAAUACAUUAGCAUGGAAUAAUGAAAUAGGACGUUUGAUUCUAUUUUGUUGGUUUCUAGGAUCGACGUAAUGAUUAAUAGGGAUAGUUGGGGGCAUUAGUAUUCAAUUGUCAGAGGUGAAAUUCUUGGAUUUAUUGAAGACUAACUACUGCGAAAGCAUUUGCCAAGGAUGUUUUCAUUAAUCAAGAACGAAAGUUAGGGGAUCGAAGACGAUCAGAUACCGUCGUAGUCUUAACCAUAAACUAUGCCGACUAGGGAUCGGAUGAUGUUAUUUUUAAAUGACUCAUUCGGCGCCU
rnacentral:rRNA from 1 species